rnacentral:rRNA from 1 species
UACGGAGGGUACGAGCAUUAAUCGGAAUUACUGGGCGUAAAGGGCGCGUAGGCGGAUUUGUAAGUCGGAUGUGAAAUUCCAAAACUCAAUUUUGGAGCUGCAUUCGAAACUACAAGUCUUGAGGUAUGGCGGAGAAAGCGGAAUUCCACGUGUAGCGGUGAAAUGCGUAGAUAUGUGGAAGAACACCGGUGGCGAAAGCGGCUUUCUAGUUUUUACCUGACGCUGAGGCGCGAGAGCAAGGGGAGCAAACAGG